AGCGAACGCUGGCGGCAGGCUUAACACAUGCAAGUCGAGCGGGCAUCCUUGUGGUGUCAGCGGCAGACGGGUGAGUAACGCGUGGGAACGUGCCCUUCGGUUCGGAAUAACUCAGGGAAACUUGAGCUAAUACCGGAUACGUGCGAGAGCAGAAAGGUUUAUCUGCCGAAGGAUCGGCCCGCGUCUGAUUAGCUAGUUGGUGAGGUUACGGCUCACCAAGGCGACGAUCAGUAGCUGGUCUGAGAAGAUGAUCAGCCACACUGGGACUGAGACACGGCCCAGACUCCUACGGGAGGCAGCAGUGGGGAAUAUUGGACAAUGGGGGCAACCCUGAUCCAGCCAUGCCGCGUGAGUGAUGACGGCCUUAGGGUUGUAAAGCUCUUUUCUCCGGGACGAUAAUGACGGUACCGGAGGAAUAAGCCCCGGCUAACUUCGUG
rnacentral:rRNA from 1 species